ACACAUCAGCAGUGAGGGGAAACAAAACGCGGCACAAACCCUAGCCGCCGCGACUCCGCGAGUCUCCUCCUGCCGCCGCAACGUUCACCAAACUGCUGACUCCUCUCCUCUCCUCGUCGCGUCCCUCUCCUCCCUCUACGAAUCCCUAACUGAAGCAGCGCCGACUCCUCGUCGCCUCCCUUUCUCUUGCAGCGAGACCCCUCCCCUCCUCGUCGAAGCUCGGAACGCGAUCCGAGCUACAAACCCCUAGACGAAGCAAAGCCCUCGGACGCGAGGGAUUCUCUCGCAUCUGAUCUCCCUCGACACUAGGGCAUAUCUCUCCGGUGGCGUUCAGUCUUCCUUCUCCUUAGUCUCCCACUCAUCAGCAGUAUUCCAGGUUGUUGCAUUUGUCACUUUCUUCAAUCAACAAUAGCAACAUUGAGGGCCUUAGAGACAUGGGAAACAGACAACUGAUUUUGCUGUAAUGGGAAACGGACAGCUCAUUUUGUUAUAAUGUUGGCAUGGGAAAGCUGAUUUUAUUGUAAUGCUGGCAUUGGACACCUGAUUUUGUUGUAAUGUUGGCAUGGGAAAGCUGAUUUUGUUGUAAUGCUGGCAUUGGACACCUGAUUUUGUUGUAGUGUUGGCAUAGGAAAGCUGAUUUUGUUGUAAUGCUGGCAUGUGACACUUGAUUUUGUUGUAAUGGGAAACAGACAGCUGAUUUUGUUGUAAUACAUAUUGCUUAUUUGGUUUUCAA